GUGAAUAUCAGUUAGAAAUCUAGUUGUUCAUUGCAAAACUAAACCAGUUUAUAGCAGAAAUAAGCACUUGGAGGGAAAUGUUACAUUUUCACUGCAGGCCUUGAAUCCUUAGCCACCAGCUCCGUGUCCUUCAGUGUUCUGUGGUUCCUGGUUCCAGAGAGAUCACCUGCUCCAAUGUAACGAGUGAAGAGUUCUUUAGGUGAUGGCUGCUGGGCCCAGCUUUGCUGUUGUCUUUGCUGUCUUGUAAGCUUUGUGUCGCUCAAGUUCAGUUGUGUAUGAGUGUACUAACCACUGUGAGCUUCUCCAAGCAUGUGCAAGCAAUUUGAGAGGAGCCUAAUAUUUGCAAGGAAUUUGAGAGGAGCCUUUUAAGGAUGUUUUAUUGGCGGGGGUCAGGUGAGGGAGAUAACACGGGGGCAAGAAGGAAAGUUAUUAAUUCAUGGGAAACUACCAGCCCUUCAUCACCUAACUUGUGAUUUACAGACACUGAGCACAUUGCAGGUUGAGAAGGUGCUUGGUCCUUUUUGUAGCCUUAUGCUGUGCUCUUCAGAGACGUGAGUGUGCUGCUUUUUCUCACCAUUUUGUUUCUUGUAGAUUGUUUUCCUUGAUGCUGGAAAACAUUUUGAAGACAAGACUCUAAACAGUGACCUAUGCCACACUAGUUUAUUGGAAAAUGAGAAACUUACAUUACUGACAAGCUUGGAAGAUUCUUCAGUCCUGCAGUGACCUGAUGAUAUUGAUGAUGAAAUGUCUUACGAUGAUCAUUUAGAGGUUUAUUUCGAACAACUGGCAAUUCCAGGAAUGAUGGAAUAAAGCAUACGAAGUAGAAGGACUGGAACCUCCAGAAAAAGUACUUUAAGUUACCUACAGGUGAUCCUAGUCAGGUAUGAAUUGAUAAGAAAUGCCUGCACCUUCCCUCCUUCCUAUCUUUCCCUUGCCUACAGAAAAUUAAAAGGCAAAACAAUGGACAUCUACAUAUUCUUCAUUCAGAUCAACCAGUGGCUAGCAUUUGCCACCUUUUGCAGUUUCUUUCUCUUUCCAUAAGUACUUUCUUCUCUGAAUCAUUUGAAAGCAAAUGAAAACAGUAGCCUAAAGUGUCAGUUUCAACCCGAAAAUAACAGCUCUGAUUUCUCAUGGCUCACACUCGUCUGAAAUGACUCGGGUAGAGGCUGAGGAAGGCUGUGUUGUUUGUCUACCUGGGACUACACCUACUGAAAGAAGUUCUCAAGUUCUGAUUGAGUUCUAAAAUUCUUUUGAAGAUUGGAAUUCUUCAUAUGGCACCAUGGGCCGGCACUGCCACGUUUUCCAAGGAACCUGCCAGAGCUCCUGCGGAAGCUGCUCCUCGGGCGAUGGAGUCCCUUUGCUGCUAGGCCCUUCUUCAGUCACCACAGGAUGCCUGCCAUUCAUGAACAGGAAGGAGAGGACGGGCUUUGAAUAAAAAACAGGAUCCAGGAAAUAUUUGUGAGGCCAUUUGGACUUCAGUGUGAAAUGGUGUUAAAAGAUGAAGUCAUUUAUUCAAGAAGUAAACCUCUGCCACCUGGACUGUGCUCAGACAUUUCAUUGAUUUUGUUUAAUAAACAUUUUCUGGCUUUGG
rnacentral:lncRNA from 1 species